UACGUAGGGGGCAAGCGUUGUCCGGAUUUAUUGGGCGUAAAGAGCGUGUAGGCGGCUUUGCAAGUCCGUUGUGAAAACUCGAGGCUCAACCUCGAGACGCCGGUGGAAACUGCAAAGCUAGAGUCCGGAAGAGGAGAGUGGAAUUCCUGGUGUAGCGGUGAAAUGUGCAGAUAUCAGGAAGAACACCCGUGGCGAAGGCGGCUCUCUGGGACGGUACUGACGCUGAGACGCGAAAGCGUGGGGAGCGAACAGG
rnacentral:rRNA from 1 species